CAUAUCGCUGCUCUUCAGUGCAAAAACCUCCCCAUCAUAUUUUUUCAACUCUGUAUCACAGCUCACAGCCUCUUGCACCUGGAAUAAGCCAUUCUAACCAAUGUUGGUCUUUCUUCUGAUUAAGAUCAGAGAUUAAAAUGGGAGGUCCCUCCUGUGGAGCAAUGCCUUUAACCUCCCAUUAUAAAAAGCAGCCUCAGACAUUCGCCAUGUCUACUGUGGCUGCAUCUCAUUUUGAGAGGAUCACUAUGACGACUCAAAUUCUCAUCAUAUUUGUAGUUUCGUCUCUGUGGCUUCAAGUUCACUGCCAGGGUGUGACCCAAUACCCUGAAGUCAGCUGGAGAUAUGUGUCCAAAUCUGCAGAGAUGAUCUGCAGCCACAACAAAGAUGCUGGUCAUAACCAGAUGUACUGGUACAGGCAGCGUCCAGGGGAGACCAUGACCCUCAUUGUCUACACAGUUUCUGGUGGACAGCCAGACUAUGGGGGGGCCCCUCAAACCAAAUAUUCAGCCAUCAAAGAGAACUUUGAGAGCGGGGCUCUUACUGUGAAAGACUUGCAGCUUGAAGACAGCGUAGGUGGAGCUGGAGCACCAGAAAAACUCCUCAGUUCAACACGUGCACCACUAUGGCAUUUAAUGUAGCUGAUUUAGAGAGAGCAAUUCAGUGUUGUGUGCUCAUUCAGACAGGAGGUCAACAUGCA